GGAAUUUUGGACAAUGGGCGCAAGCCUGAUGCAGCGACGCCGCGUGGGUGAUGAAGGUUUUCGGAUCGUAAAGCCCUUUUCUGCGUGACGAUAAUGACGGUAGCGCAGGAAGAAGUGUCGGCUAACUACGUUCCAGCAGCCGCGGUAAAACGUAGGACGCAAACGUUAUCCGGAAUUACUGGGCGUAAAGGGCGCGCAGGCGGUUCUUUAAGUUAGGCAUGAAAGCUCCCUGGCUAAACCGGGAGAGGUUGUCUGAUACUGGAGGACUAGAGUAUGGUAGAGGGGUGUAGAAUUCCGCGUGUAGUGGUGAAAUGCGUAGAGAUGCGGAGGAAUACCAGUGGCGAAGGCGACACCCUGGACCAAGACUGACGCUGAGGCGCGAAAGCAUGGGUAGCGAAC
rnacentral:rRNA from 1 species